GCCCUUUUCAUCCGCCGCACCGUUCCCUAUAUUAGCCGUGUCAGCUUGUCUGACUAUGGUGAUAAACAGGCGAUGUAAUAAGCCGUUCGGACCCGGGGGCGGUACCCGGCGCCUCCACCACAAGCUGCCCUGCUGGGCGGUUUCUGAUGGGGGCGAAAUAGGAUCGACGAAGGUGUAAAGAUCGUACUUUUGCCCGGCAUGGUACCACCGUUAUCGGACUAAACUUGUAGUUGCAAAUGACAACUUUGCGGAAGCACGUCUCGCAGCGUAAGCUGUGCGAUAGCUUCAAAUUCAAGCCCUAGCGGUUCGCACUGCUAGGCGGGGUUCGGAGGUACCUGGCAACAGAAACCUCCACU
rnacentral:tmRNA from 1 species